GGGCCUACGGGACGCAGCAGUGAGGAAUAUUGGUCAAUGGUCGGGAGACUGAACCAGCCAAGCCGCGUGAGGGAGGAAGGUACAGAGUAUCGUAAACCUCUUUUGUCAGGGAACAAAGGCGGGGACGUGUCCCCGGAUGAGUGUACCUGAAGAAAAAGCAUCGGCUAACUCCGUGCCAGCAGCCGCGGUAAUACGUAGGGGGCAAGCGUUAUCCGGAAUUACUGGGUGUAAAGGGUGAGUAGGCGGCAUGGUAAGCCAGAUGUGAAAGCCUUGGGCUUAACCCGAGGAUUGCAUUUGGAACUAUC
rnacentral:rRNA from 1 species